GACAGAGGGGGCAAGCGUUGCUCGGAAUUACUGGGCGUAAAGGGCGCGUAGGCGGGAUGGCAAGUCGGUCGUGAAAUCCCUCGGCUCAACCGAGGAACGUCGAUCGAUACUGCUGUUCUUGAGGAUUGCAGAGGAGACUGGAAUUCCCGGUGUAGCGGUGAAAUGUGUAGAGAUCGGGAGGAACACCGGUGCGAAGGCGGGUCUCUGGGCAAU
rnacentral:rRNA from 1 species